GCAGUGCCUGGUUUGGGGGGCUCUGCAGGAGCCCGAGAAAGUGUCAGAGAUCACCCUGUGCUAAACUCGUAGGAGAUAACUCCCUGCUCGAGCAGGCUGUAGAUAUUCCAGAUAUUUCUCAGGAAACAGAGCUUGGGGAGUUUCACCACAAUGUUAACUAUUGUGAACCACAAAUGAAUCGUAUGAGCCGGGAAAAAGCGCUGAGCCCCCUCCAGGAGCACCAGCAGGAGCAGGUUACUGUGCCAGCCCCAUGGCCGGUGGGGUUCGGGGGGUUUGGCUGCCAGAGCGGCUCCCGGCUCUGCCCGCGAUGGAAGCGGGCCCGGGAAGGGGCAGAGCAGCCCCGCGGACAGCCGGGCUCGGCUCGGUACCAUAGCGCAGCUCUGCCCGCUCCGGCGGCUCCCCAGGGGAGGCGAUGAGCAGCCGAGAGCGAGAGAGCCGCGAAUGCCAGAGCUCUGCUCUUGCAUAACACCCGGGAAGCUUCCAGCGGCGCUGGGAAUGCCCGCAUCGCUCCGGAGAUCCCCGGUGUGACGGAAAGGGAAGGAAGGUGCUGCUGUGAGACCCCGACAGCUCUUCCUGACGGCGUGGAGGGGUGAACACGAGCCUGAGCUCCCACCUGCCGCCCCACCCGAGGCACCUGCUCUUGGCCUUCAGAGCGCCCCGUGCGAGCGCCGCGGGAGGAGCUGGGCCCAGUAAAAGGUACAGAGGGUUGGGGUCCCAGCCGGGGGCUGCCUUGGCUCUGCCCUGGCUGCUCCCGGGGUCCCUCCUGCAUCCAAACCUGCGUGU